AGAGAGGAAAGCUCAAAAUGACGGAAAAUCAAAUUGCGCAAAAGGAUCUCAUGCGCUCUUCAGAUGUCUUGAAUCGGAUCUCGAAGCAAUAUCUACUGAAGAGAAACCGAAAGAUCGCUAGGAAGAGCUUGGGCGAUGCAUUCACUUCGGUUUCUGAAGAUUUGUUACCGGAGACUUCGAAGGAAUCAACCGAUUCCUCUCCGACUUCUGAUGGUUCUGGUGCUAAUUCCCAACGGUGAAACAAUAGAAAGCUUUGUGCCGAAGCAUAAAUUUAGUCCAGAUAUCCUAGCUUCAGUACUGGAAACAUUUAUGCAGUACAAUGUCUCUCCAACCUCUGCAAUCACUGAUUCUGUGGGAAACAAUGGACUAUACAAGCUGCACAAUCACAAGAUCGCACCAAUGGAGGAAGACCUAGAUCUGCGUUACAAGAGAGAUUUGAUGGAUGAACUUAUUUCAGUUAAGGAUUGUGUUGUGCUUCUUUGCUUUUUGCUCUGGAUACUUGUGGUUUCAAUGGUUCUAUACUUCAGUUCUGGAGGCCAGACAUCUUAUAUUGGACCCCUUCCCACUUGAAUCGCUGCAUAGAGGUGGCGGAAUGUUAGCUUGUGAAACGUAAGGUUCGUUUCUCGGUUGUCUGCUUUGGCAUCAAUGUUCUUUUACCAGUGUAGUUCAUAUCUUCAAUCAACUUUUGCCAUGCUUAUGUUGAGAUUAUGUUGACAUGAGAAUUGUGUAGUUUUUUUUUAG